rnacentral:rRNA from 1 species
UACGAACCGAGCGAACGUUAUUCGGAAUCACUGGGCGUAAAGGGUGCGUAGGCGGGUCUUUUAAGUCAGGGGUGAAAUCCUGGAGCUCAACUCCAGAACUGCCUUUGAUACUGAGGAUCUUGAGUUCGGGAGAGGUGAGUGGAACUGCGAGUGUAGAGGUGAAAUUCGUAGAUAUUCGCAAGAACACCAGUGGCGAAGGCGGCUCACUGGCCCGAUACUGACGCUGAGGCACGAAAGCGUGGGGAGCAAACAGG